UCCCGUGACCAUCGAGUCUUUGAACGCAAGUUGCGCCCGAAGCCAGCUCAGGCCGAGGGCACGCCUGCCUGGGUGUCACCAAUCGUCGCCCCCACAACCCCGCUGCCUCCCGGCACCGGGCGGGGCGGAUGCUGGCCUCCCGCGAGCGAGCGCCUCGCGGCUGGUUGAAAGGCGGGUUCGUGGCGGAGCGUAUCGCCAUGACGGACGGUGGUUGAGCGCGUUCUCGAGGCCAGUCAUGCGCGUCCCGCUGCGCCGGAUACGGACCCCGCGACCCGCGGGCGGCACCGAUCGCUCGUGAUGCGACCUCAGGUCAGGCGG
rnacentral:rRNA from 1 species